CCAUGCAUGUCUCAGUACAAGCCACAUUAAGGUGAAACCGCAAAANGCUCAUUAAAUCAGUUAUGGUUCCUUAGAUCGUACCCACAUUUACUUGGAUAACUGUGGUAUUCUAGAGCUAAUACAUGCAAACNGAGCUCCAACUGGAAACGGAAGGAGUGCUUUUAUUAGAUCAAAGCCAAACGGCGUGAUGUUCAUUCUUUUUGGAUUGCACAUUCGUCGUACAUUAUAUUGUUGACUCUGAAUAACUUUUUGCUGAUCGCAUGGUCUUGCACCGGCGACGCAUCUUUCAAAUGUCUGCCUUAUCAACUGUCGAUGGUAGGUUCUGCGCCUACCAUGGUUGUAACGGGUAACGGGGAAUCAGGGUUCGAUUCCGGAGAGGGAGCCUGAGAAACGGCUACCACAUCCAAGGAAGGCAGCAGGCGCGCAAAUUACCCACUCCCGGCACGGGGAGGUAGUGACGAAAAAUAACGAUACGGGACUCAUCCGAGGCCCCGUAAUCGGAAUGAGUACACUUUAAAUCCUUUAACGAGGAUCAAUUGGAGGGCAAGUCUGGUGCCAGCAGCCGCGGUAAUUCCAGCUCCAAUAGCGUAUAUUAAAGUUGUUGCGGUUAAAAACUCCGUAGUCGAACUUGUGUCUCGUGCCGCUGGUUCAUCGUUCGCGGUGUUAAACUGGCGUGACACGAGACUUCCUGCCGGUGGGUUUAGUGCAUUUCCAAUUUAAUUCGUUAUGCUGUCUAUGUGUUUGGGUGCGGCAUUUAUGUCGUUCCGCAUCGCAAUCCAGUUAAUGAACGGUUGGAAAUUGUGCGACCCAAGCUUACAAUCCUGCUGCGUUGCUCUUGAUUGAGUGACGAGGUGGGCCGGCACGUUUACUUUGAACAAAUUAGAGUGCUUAAAGCAGGCAAAAAUUUCGCCUGAAUAUUCUGUGCAUGGAAUAAUGGAAUAGGACCUCGGUUCUAUUUCGUUGGUUUUCGGAACUCCGAGGUAAUGAUUAAUAGGAACGGAUGGGGGCAUUCGUAUUGCGACGUUAGAGGUGAAAUUCUUGGAUCGUCGCAAGACGAACGGAACGAAAGCAUUUGCCAAAAACGCUUUCAUUGAUCAANAACGAAAGUUAGAGUUCGAGGCGAUCAGAUACCGCCCUAGUUCUAACCGUAAACAAUGUCAACUGACGAUCCGUCGACGUUCCUUUAUUGACUCGACGGGCAGUUUCCGGGAAACCAAAGUUUUUGGGUUCCGGGGGAAGUAUGGUUGCAAAGCUGAAACUUAAAGGAAUUGACGGAAGGGCACCACCAGGAGUGGAGCCUGCGGCUUAAUUUGACUCAACACGGGAAACCUCACCAGGCCCGGACACCGGAAGGAUUGACAGAUUGAGAGCUCUUUCUUGAUUCGGUGGGUGGUGGUGCAUGGCCGUUCUUAGUUGGUGGAGCGAUUUGUCUGGUUAAUUCCGAUAACGAACGAGACUCUAGCCUGCUAAAUAGGCGCAAUAUGACAUCGCAAAGGCCAGCCGAUUUGAUAUAUGGGUUAUGUAAGUGGCGUUUACGCGUCCAUUACGUUCCCUUGUCGGAUUGUGCGCGGUUUUUACUGUCGGCGUACAAAUAAUUCUUCUUAGAGGGACAGGCGGCUUUUAGCCGCACGAGAUUGAGCAAUAACAGGUCUGUGAUGCCCUUAGAUGUUCUGGGCCGCACGCGCGCUACACUGAAGGAAUCAGCGUGUCCUCCCUGGCCGAAUGGCCCGGGUAACCCGCUGAACCUCCUUCGUGCUAGGGAUUGGGGCUUGCAAUUGUUCCCCAUGAACGAGGAAUUCCCAGUAAGCGCGAGUCAUAAGCUCGCGUUGAUUAAGUUCNUGCCCUUUG
rnacentral:rRNA from 1 species